CCUGCCACUCAGCACUCAGGCCCUGGUCACACAUGUGCCCCCCUGGGGCUUUGCCCACCUUUCCUUUCCUCUUGCUUCUUUGAUCCUUCAUCUCUCCAUUCCAAAUGAAAAUCCUAAGGGCCUGAAGUCCACCAAGCGCUGGUGUGUUUCCAGUUAACUCGGUUGCCCUAAGUUUUCCCCCACUGUAUCGUGGUAGUGACUCAACAGCCUGCUCACAGGAUACUGGGAGGCUGCACCGGUGCUGGAGGCUCUUCUACCUGCCUUGGUGGCCUCCUGACAUCCCUCUCAGGCCACACUAGGCCCUGGGAGCUUCUUCAUCCUGGAUACUACCCAAUGGGGAAGAUCCAGGAAAAGAUCAGAGGGAGGAGGAAAAGCUCUCUCUGCUUUCCCUCUGGAACUCAAUACAAACAUGGAACACUUCUCACUGUGGAGCACUACACCCUGAACUGUGUGGCUCAGCACUUUCUCCUGGAUCUGUCAUCAUUCAACCCAUAGCCCUGUGUGGUCAAGCAUUGGCAGGAGCCCUAUAUUACACCGAGCCUCUGAGAAGUGAAAAAAUAUCCACCGCAACCCACAGCUGGCAUGAAACAAGCAUCUUGCUUCACCACACACUCACUCUCUGGCUUGGCAGCCAGAGGUCUGAAGCAAUGAGUCUGCUCAGUCUUGGACUAGAAUUUACAAAACUGUCAGUUUAGACGAAACUGCAAUGGUAAAUUUUGGUUGUCAGCUUGACUGGAUCUGGCCAAAUAUAUGGAGGUUCACCGCUACCAGCUAGACUCAUCUACCCUGUUGUGUCUUGAGUUCAUCUACUCUGCUGCUGCUUCCAGUCUUCACAGGACUCAGAUCCCAGUGUGGAAUGAAGACCAGUGGUUCUCCAGGAAUCCUCCAGACCUUCUCCGUCAGAUGGGGACCACUGAGCACCCAGCUUCAUGGACUGAGCUGUCAGUCUCUCCAGUGUGAAGACAGUUACUGUUAGCAUACCCAGACAGUACCAUGCAAGCUAAUUUAAUAAAUCCUUUUAGUAUAUAUUCAUUCUAUUGGUUCUGUUCUCCUAGAGAACCCUGGCUAAUACACUCUCCAAAUUUCUAGCCCA